GUUAUCGUUUAUUUGAUAGUACCUUACUMCUUGNAUAACCGUGGUAANUCUAGAGCUAAUACAUGNUANAAGCCCCGACUCACGGAGGGGUGUAUUUAUUAGAUAAAAANCCNACGCCCUUCGGGGCUCNAUGGUGAUUCAUAAUAACUUCNCGAAUCGCAUGGCCUUGCGCCGGCNAUGGUUCAUUCNAAUUUCUGCCCUAUCNACUUUCNAUUGUUGGGUAGUGGCCAACAAUGGUUGCAACGGGUAACGGGGAAUUAGGGUUCGACUCCGNAGAGGGGGCCUGAGAAACAGCCACCACAUCCAAGGAAGGCAGCAGGCGCGCAAAUUACCCAAUCCCGACACGGGGAGGUAGUGACAAUAAAUACUGAUACAGGGNCUCUUUUGGGUCUUGUAAUUGGAAUGAGUACAAUUUAAAUACCUUAACGAGGAACAAUUGGAGGGCAAGUCUGGUGCCAGCAGCCGCGGUAAUUCCAGCUCCAAUAGCGUAUAUUAAAGUUGUUGCAGUUAAAAAGCUCGUAGUUGAACCUUGGGCCUGGCUGGCCGGUCCGCCUCACCGCGUGCACUGGUGCGGCCGGGCCUUUCCUCCGGGGGAACCGUCUGCCCUUCACUGGGCGGGCCGGGGAACCCGGACUUUUACUUUGAAAAAAUUAGAGUGUUCAAAGCAGGCCUUCGCUCGAAUACAUUAGCAUGGAAUAAUAGAAUAGCA
rnacentral:rRNA from 1 species